AUGAAUCUUAAAGAGUAUGAAUUAUAAAAAAGGCUUUAUGAAGAAAGCACUUUAAGCUUUCCCAACGAUUUAAGAUGAUACCGGGGAAGGUUUUUCCGGUAUUAUCCCGGAGGGCUUGUAGCUCAGUUGGUUAGAGCGCGCGCUUGAUAAGCGUGAGGUCGGAGGUUCAAGUCCUCCCAGGCCCACCAAUUUAUGCUCGUUUUUUGCUUAUUCUUGAGCCUUAUGAAGCUUAAGCGUGUCAAAGCCUCUUUAAUCUUUGUUCAUAGUUUAAAGAUUWAAUUUUAUCUUUCAGAAAUUAUUUGUUAAAUUUAUUUCAUUGCAAAUUUAUCUCAUUACAUUUGUCGAAUAGUGCCUUUGUUAGAGAAUACCUUUGUUAAAGAGGAUUUUAACGUCCCUUCAAGGGUGCAGAUAAAUUUAAAGAAUAAAAAUCAAAUUUAAGCAAUACAAAUCAAAAUAAUAUUGAUUAAAAGAGGACAAGUCAUUCAAGGUGAUCAAUUAUCUUGAGAUUGAUU
rnacentral:tRNA from 1 species